rnacentral:rRNA from 1 species
CUGCUAAUACCGGAUAAGCUCAUGAAGCGGCAUCGCUUUAUGAGGAAAGGUGGCCUCUGAAAAUGCUACCGAUUAAGGAUGGACCCGCGUCUGAUUAGCUAGUUGGUAAGGUAACGGCUUACCAAGGCAACGAUCAGUAGCCGGCCUGAGAGGGUGAUCGGCCACACUGGGACUGAGACACGGCCCAGACUCCUACGGGAGGCAGCAGUGGGGAAUCUUCCGCAAUGGGCGAAAGCCUGACGGAGCAACGCCGCGUGAAUGAAGAAGGCCUUCGGGUCGUAAAGUUCUGUCUUUAGGGAAGAAGUCUUUUUAUGUAAAUAAUGUAAAGAGGUGACGGUACCUGAGGAGGAAGCUCCGGCUAACUACGUGCCAGCAGCCGCGGUAAUACGUAGGGAGCAAGCGUUGUCCGGAAUUACUGGGCGUAAAGGGCGCGUAGGCGGGAUAUUAAGUUAGGUGUGAAAACUCUGGGCUCAACUCAGAGACUGCACUUAAAACUGGUAUUCUUGAGGACAGGAGAGGAAAGUGGAAUUCCUAGUGUAGCGGUGAAAUGCGUAGAUAUUAGGAGGAACACCAGUGGCGAAGGCGACUUUCUGGACUGUAACUGACGCUGAGGCGCGAAAGCGUGGGGAGUGAACGGGAUUAGAUACCCCGGUAAUCCCCGCUGUAAACGAUGGGUACUAGGUGUAGGAGGUAUCGACCCCUUCUGUGCCGGAGUU